rnacentral:rRNA from 1 species
CAGUAGCCGCGGGAAUACGGAGGGUGCAAGCGUUAAUCGGAAUUACUGGGCGCAAAGCGUGCGUAGGCGGUUCGUUAAGUCUGUUGUGAAAGCCCCGGGCUCAACCUGGGAAUGGCAAUGGAUACUGGCGAGCUAGAGUGUGUCAGAGGAUGGUGGAAUUCCCGGUGUAGCGGUGAAAUGCGUAGAGAUCGGGAGGAACAUCAGUGGCGAAGGCGGCCAUCUGGGACAACACUGACGCUGAGGCACGAAAGCGUGGGGAGCAAACAGGAUUAGAUACCCGCGUAGUCCCUGUCUCUUAUAC